GGGUUGUGAGGUUAAGCGACUAAGCGUACACGGUGGAUGCCCUGGCAGUCAGAGGCGAUGAAGGGCGUGCUAAUCUGCGAUAAGCGCCGGUAAGGUGAUAUGAACCGUUAUAACCGGCGAUACCCGAAUGGGGAAACCCAGUGUGACUCGUCACACUAUCAUUAACUGAAUCCAUAGGUUAAUGAGGCGAACCGGGGGAACUGAAACAUCUAAGUACCCCGAGGAAAAGAAAUCAACCGAGAUUCCCCCAGUAGCGGCGAGCGAACGGGGAGGAGCCCAGAGCCUGAAUCAGCAUGUGUGUUAGUGGAAGCGUCUGGAAAGGCGCGCGAUACAGGGUGACAGCCCCGUACACAAAAGCGCAUGUGUUGUGAGCUCGAUGAGUAGGGCGGGACACGUGGUAUCCUGUCUGAAUAUGGGGGGACCAUCCUCCAAGGCUAAAUACUCCUGACUGACCGAUAGUGAACCAGUACCGUGAGGGAAAGGCGAAAAGAACCCCGGCGAGGGGAGUGAAAAAGAACCUGAAACUGUGUACGUACAAGCAGUGGGAGCACCCUUUUGGGUGUGACUGCGUACCUUUUGUAUAAUGGGUCAGCGACUUAUAUUCUGUAGCAAGGUUAACCGAAUAGGGGAGCCGUAGGGAAACCGAGUCUUAAC
rnacentral:rRNA from 1 species